rnacentral:rRNA from 1 species
UACGUAGGGUCCAGGCGUUGUCCGGAUUUAUUGGGCGUAAAGAGCUCGUAGGCGGCUCAGUAAGUCGGAUGUGAAAACUCGGGGCUCAACCCCGAGACGCCAUCCGAUACUGCUGUGGCUUGAGUCUGGUAGGGGAACACGGAAUUCCUGGUGUAGCGGUGAAAUGCGCAGAUAUCAGGAGGAACACCGAUGGCGAAGGCAGUGUUCUGGGCCAGUACUGACGCUGAGGAGCGAAAGCGUGGGUAGCAAACAGG